CAAGCCGUGGGCUCGGUCCUUGCAGAAUUACUCCACUGAUCCCACAGGCUGCGACUGGGCGUAAUCUGAGCUGCACAGCUGAGCUCUGUUUGCAGGCAAAGAAGCCCUGCUCUAGGUAGCCAUCUGCCCAAAACCAGUACCAUAGUCCUCACCACGAGCCACCAUCCAGCUCUUCAGCCCUGCCACAUUGGCCAAGGGGAAAAGCAAGAAGGAGGCUGCGACCUGAGUGAUCCCUGGACUGCUUUGACGCCGUACCCCACGUGUGAAGGUGGUGCCUGCAGCUUUCCAGGUGUCCUCUCCCACGCAUCCCGCUCCCAGACCGGCUCCUGUUUUAGCGUAUGAGAAGAGAUUGGAAGUGCUGCCAAGGAGGAACUUGGUGCAACAUCCCGUACCUACAGCACAGAGCAAAACAUUGCUCUGGUCCUGCCGUCUUACGGAUUCGUGACGUCAUAUAUGGCCUCGCUCCGUAGCUCAAUUGGCUGCUUCGAGGCUGCCAUCUGAAAAGCAAACAACUUAAUGCAAAUGGGACUGCCAACCUUCAGGAUUUAAAAAUCAUGAGCCAGAAUCUAAAAAAGUCAGCAGCUUUGCUUUAAAAUCGUGGCAGUUCAAGAAAUCAGCAUUGUGUUGUUUUCAAUUGUUCUGGUGUACUGGAAUUAUGUUUUUAAGUGUUUUCUAAGUAAACAUACAGGCUGGAAACUUGCUUUAAAAAGGACUGUAAGUUCACAUUAACAACCUUACUCCAGCAGUUGGGGCUUUAGGAAAAAUAACAAAUAUCACAAGACUUGUGUUAAAAUUGCAAAAUUUGCCAGUGCUUCAAAACUCAAAAUUUGGCUUAAAAUAUGAACUAUUUAUUGACUAAGCCCUACACUAUCAAACUGGCUGGUGAUUCUGGAUGCCUCUUAGCAAACUACAAACACCUCAGAAAGACCUGAUUUCUCAGCAGGC
rnacentral:lncRNA from 1 species